CGACUGCUUGGUCUGUAGCAGGGGCUGCGGCCUGUUCUGCGGCCUGUUCUGGUGUCGGGACAGCUGCCGGUUCCGCUGCGGGAGCAGUCGCCC
rnacentral:tRNA from 2 species